UGGGGAAUAUUGCACAAUGGAGGGAACUCUGAUGCAGCGACGCCGCGUGAACGAAGAAGGCUUUCGAGUCGUAAAGUUCUUUUAUAUGGGAAGAUAAUGACGGUACCAUAAGAAGAAGCCCCGGCUAACUACGUGCCAGCAGCCGCGGUAAUACGUAGGGGGCUAGCGUUGUCCGGAAUCACUGGGCGUAAAGGGUUCGCAGGCGGAAAUGCAAGUCAGGUGUAAAAGGAAGUAGCUUAACUACUGUAAGCAUUUGAAACUGCAUAUCUUGAGAAGAGUAGAGGUAAGUGGAAUUUUUAGUGUAGCGGUGAAAUGCGUAGAUAUUAAAAAGAAUACCGGUGGCGAAGGCGACUUACUGGGCUCAUUCUGACGCUGAGGAACGAAAGCGUGGGUAGCAAACAGG
rnacentral:rRNA from 1 species